rnacentral:lncRNA from 1 species
GCCUCUAACCUGCUGCACCAGUAGGUCGAAUUGCUCCGUGCCAGCCGCCGUCGCUGGAGGAGGAGGCAGAGGCUGGGAGACUGGAGGUGAGGCCGGAGCCUGUAAUCUGGCCGUGGAGGCCGUAGAUCGCCGUGUGGAUGCCCUGCGGGGAGGCAUCGGGCGAAGAUCAGGUGGGAGAAGGAGGAGUGGAUGUCGGAGAAGAUGACCAGAGGUGGUCCCGUUGAGCGCUCCUU